GUACUAAGGUAGCAUAAUCAUUAGUCUCUUAAUUAGGGAAUAGAAUGAAAGGAACAACUAAUUAUAACAUUAUAAUAUAUCUUUUUAAUUAAAUUAGCAUUAUAGUAAAAAGACUAUAAUAUAUAAGAAAGACAACAAGACCCUACUGAACUUUACACAUAUUGUUUUACUGGGGAAGUAAAUUAACUAAAUUUUAAUUAUAAUAAUAUUACUUAAUCGGACUAAAUCAAACACAGAAACAAGUUACCAUAGGGCUAACAGCACAAUAAUAUUUUAGAGAACAUAUCAAAAAUAAAGAUUAUGACCUCGAUGUUGAAUUAGAAAACUUAAUUAAGUAAAAUUAAUUAAAGUGGGUCUGUUCGACCCUAAAUUAUCUACGUGAU
rnacentral:rRNA from 1 species